ACUGGCUUGUGGCAGCCAAGCGUUCAUAGCGACGUUGCUUUUGAUCUUCGAUGUCGGCUCUUCCUAUCAUGAGACGCAGAAGUCUCAAAGUGUCGGAUUGUUCACCCGCCAAUAGGGAACGUGAGCUGGGUUUAGACCGUCGUGAGACAGGUUAGUUUUACCCUACUGACAAAGUAGAUACUGCGACAGUAGUCGAAGUUAGUACGAGAGGAACACUUCGUCCAGAUACUUGGUUAAUGCCGUUGUCUGAAAAGACAGUACGGCGAAGCUACCAUCUGCUGGAUUACGGCUGAACGCCUCUAAGCCGGAAUCCAUGCUGGAUAAGCAGUGUUGUACACCGUGCUCAAUGCUACAAGAAAAAGGCUAGGUCAGGCUUCGGCCUGACCAAAAUUCAAGCUGCUAUACCUCUGGCUGCAUUGACUUGUGGUCAGAGUGUAUGGUGAUCAUAGCAAUUGCAAGUAUUGGGCUCGAUAAAUCCUUUGAAGACGACUUAAUUGCAUCCGGGUAUUGUAAGUGUUGAGAGUAGGCUUAGUCUUACGAUCCACUGAGAUUCAUCCCGUGUUGCGCCGAUUUGU
rnacentral:ncRNA from 1 species